rnacentral:rRNA from 1 species
GAUGAACGCUGGCGGCGUGCUUAACACAUGCAAGUCGAACGAUGAAGCCCAGCUUGCUGGGUGGAUUAGUGGCGAACGGGUGAGUAACACGUGAGCAACCUGCCCCUGACUCUGGGAUAAGCGCUGGAAACGGCGUCUAAUACUGGAUAUGUCCCGACACCGCAUGGUGUGCGGGUGGAAAGAUUUUUCGGUUGGGGAUGGGCUCGCGGCCUAUCAGCUUGUUGGUGAGGUAAUGGCUCACCAAGGCGUCGACGGGUAGCCGGCCUGAGAGGGUGACCGGCCACACUGGGACUGAGACACGGCCCAGACUCCUACGGGAGGCAGCAGUGGGGAAUAUUGCACAAUGGGCGGAAGCCUGAUGCAGCAACGCCGCGUGAGGGAUGACGGCCUUCGGGUUGUAAACCUCUUUUAGCAGGGAAGAAGCGAAAGUGACGGUACCUGCAGAAAAAGCACCGGCUAACUACGUG